UGUACGAGGCUCAGCAAGACCAAGCGCCAGGUCCUGCACUUUGGUCACGACAACCCCAUGCCAGCCUCUCCAGGAUUUGGCUGAGAUAGAAUUCCAAAACCCACUGAUUUCUUGAACCUUGGGGUUGGGGUGCCCUUUUGGAAUCCUAUGGUCUUGUGACGUAGUCCUGCCUCCCCACCUUGUCCAUCCAUCCAUGGUGGACCAGACGGGUGGCCCUUCGUGAUGUCAUAAGCAGCUAGAAUGAGGGGAGGAGCAGCGCAUGCUGCGUCCCUUCAUUGGAGCACUUGAGCUCUGCCUGAGUCCCUGGCUUGUUGCACUUGUGCACUGACUGAGUCCCUCUGUCUUCAGCCCGUCUUGCACAGCAACUUGUAGGCCAUCCAUUCCAAAGCCAUCCAUCAAGCUUUCGCUCACGGAAGAACAGAGUCAAAGUGACAAGGAACAGCUGCGGGUUCAAGGAUCUUUUUCUACUUUGUUCUGCUCUCUUGCCAGCUUGUCACCCCUGCUGUGAUGGGCAUUGUGAGCAGCAAGAUCAGCUGUGGGCCUGGCCUGGCAUGGAUGGAGGGACCAUGCAGAAUCAGCUCAGGAAGGAUUGCAUCCCGCUGGAAGAGACUCCACGCCGAAGCAAGGGAAAACUGACAGUGAACAGUUGACGGAGAUAAGUGUUCUUGACUGACCACAACCCCCAUUUCCAGUCCCUCUGUGCCAUUCAGGCGGAAGAGGUAGAGGAAGGCAUUUUUACUUCUCUUUUUAACUCUCAUAGCUCCAGUUUGUUAUUAGUUGGCAAUAAGUUAAUCUUUCCUACACUGUUUUUUGCCCAUGACAGUGAUUGCUGAGUAAUCUCCCAUUCCUUAUCUCAAUCCAGAAGAUUUUUCUCCAUCGUAUUUUCUCCCCCUGUCAUUCUGAGUACUGGGAGUGAGAGAGUGAUCUGGUGGUGCUCAGCUUCCUACCAGUGUUAAAUCACUACAGGGACAUUAUAUGGUGCAGAGAUCUUUCUCGACUUCAGUGAGACAGACCUGGAGUUCUAAGGCCUGAACAAUGGCCCCUGAACCAACGCUGACCUCUAGAUGAACCUCACAACCAAGCAUUACAUGACAUUAGAAUUUGAUUAUUAGUGAAAUAGGUAGCUUAGAUAAUCUGUCUCAUUAGCAAGAUGUGUAACUUAGAUAAAACAUUAUGUGAAUGUAUUAAUUUUUCCUCGUUUAGAAGCAUGAUAUCAAGGCCAAGUACACGAACUCCCUUGCUUUCUCCCUUGGCCAGCUUUGGGGUGGAAUCCAAAAGCAGAAUGAAACCAGAUGUUUCCACCCCUGAAGUUAGGUAAGCUUGUUUAUUCAGCAAUAUAAAAGCUGGGCCCUCUUACAGCAACACUGGAGACCUCACCUAUGGAUGGACACAUCGUGUAAGACCUCUCAGUUGCCAGGAAAGACUCUCCAAAUCCUGUAACUGGGACUCCUCAGCAAUUGCAGAUCUGGAUGAUGGUAAAGUAUUAGGGCCAUUGCUGAUGUCUCUCUCUUAAUAAUUAUGACUUUCACUAGUGACCAGAUGCACUGCCUUAUUCCUAUUCUAUCGCUUAUUUUUUGUAUUAUCUUGAAAUGAACAGUAAAAACAAGUUUACUCUUUUCAACUUGAUGCACAUGUUUUUGCAUCUAUUGGUAAAACCAGGCCCCAUAUGAAAAGAUUGAUAAAAUAGCUGCUUUAGUGGCACAGACUAAUCAUAAUAAUAAAAAGAAGAAUAUAAAUAGUAAGUAAAUAUUAUUGAGCACUGCCCCACAGACAGGAUUUGUGCAGCUUGUUGUAGGAAAAUCCAUUCAGCAUCCACUGAUAAUGCAGGAAAGUGAGGCGCCCAGUAUCUGAAGGAGAGUAAGAUUCACUUGUUAUUGGUAUUCCCUCUUUUUCUCUGUCUUACCAAACAGCA